UAUUUAUAUAUAUAAGCCUUCAGUGGUUUCAUUUGGUACGAGAGCCUUCAGACUGUGUAGUGAUAAUUACGCGAGUUUUAAAACUGAGUUGUGUAAAUAUUUAUAUUGUUGAUCUCGGUGAUAUUUAGAUAGUGACACAUGUGCUUUGUUAAAUAAUUUAUUGGAGAUCCUAAGCUACCGUUUGGUGUGGAGCCGCUAUUGCUAAAUGUAACACUACUCUCGCUAUCACUCAGUCUGUAUUUAGUUGUCAUUUUUUGAAUAAAUAAAUAAAUAAAUAAACU